rnacentral:snRNA from 1 species
CUGCUCCCUUUGGCAAUAUAUAGACUAAAAUUGAAACAAAACUGAAAAGAUUAUCAUGGUUCCCAAGCAAGAAUGUUUCACAAAUUUAUGAAGGAGUCCUUAUUUCU